CACGUAGGGCGCAAGCGUUGUCCGGAAUUAUUGGGCGUAAAGCGCACGUAGGCGGUUCGUUAAGUCGGAUGUGAAAGCCCUAGGCUCAACCUAGGAAGUGCAUUCGAAACUGGCGAGCUUGAAUAUGGAAGAGGGUCGCGGAAUUCCCGGUGUAGAGGUGAAAUUCGUAGAUAUCGGGAGGAACACCAGUGGCGAAGGCGGCGACCUGGGCC
rnacentral:rRNA from 1 species